CGCGUAGGUGGUUAAUUAAGUCAAAUGUGAAAUCCCCCGAGCUUAACUUGGGAAUUGCAUUCGAUACUGGUUAGCUAGAGUAUGGGAGAGGAUGGUAGAAUUCCAGGUGUAGCGGUGAAAUGCGUAGAGAUCUGGAGGAAUACCGAUGGCGAAGGCAGCCAUCUGGCCUAAUACUGACACUGAGGUGCGAAAGCAUGGGGGAGCAAACA
rnacentral:rRNA from 1 species